UACGUAGGGGGCUAGCGUUGCUCGGAAUCACUGGGCGUAAAGCGCACGUAGGCGGCUUUUUAAGUCAGGGGUGAAAUCCUGGAGCUCAACUCCAGAACUGCCUUUGAUACUGAGGAUCUUGAGUUCGGGAGAGGUGAGUGGAACUGCGAGUGUAGAGGUGAAAUUCGUAGAUAUUCGCAAGAACACCAGUGGCGAAGGCGGCUCACUGGCCCGAUACUGACGCUGAGGCACGAAAGCGUGGGGAGCAAACAGG
rnacentral:rRNA from 1 species